GACGAACGCUGGCGGCGUGCUUAACACAUGCAAGUUGAACGAGAAUUUUUCGAGUGAUUUCUUCGGAAUGAUCAUGGAAAAGGAAAGUAGCGAACGGGUGAGUAACACGUGAGAAACCUGCCUUUCACAAAGGGAUAGCCUCGGGAAACCGGGAUUAAUACCUUAUGAAACCAAACACUCGCAUGAGAGAUUGGUUAAAGAUUUAUCGGUGUUAGAUGGUCUCGCGUCUGAUUAGCUAGUUGGUGGGAUAAAAGCCUACCAAGGCAACGAUCAGUAGCCGGAUUGAGAGGUUGAACGGCCACACUGGAACUGAGACACGGUCCAGACUCCUACGGGAGGCAGCAGUGGGGAAUUUUGCACAAUGGAGGAAACUCUGAUGCAGCGACGCCGCGUGAGUGAUGAAGGUCUUCGGAUUGUAAAACUCUGUCCUUAGUGAAGAUAAUGACAGUAACUAAGAAGCAAGCCCGGGCUAAAUACGUG
rnacentral:rRNA from 1 species